UACGUAGGGAGCAAGCGUUGUUCGGAUUUACUGGGCGUAAAGGGCGCGUAGGCGGCGCGGUAAGUCACUUGUGAAAUCUCUGAGCUUAACUCAGAACGGCCAAGUGAUACUGCAGUGCCAGAGUGCAGAAGGGGCAAUCGGAAUUCUUGGUGUAGCGGUGAAAUGCGUAGAUAUCAAGAGGAACACCUGAGGUGAAGACGGGUUGCUGGGCUGACACUGACGCUGAGGCGCGAAAGCCAGGGGAGCAAACGGG
rnacentral:rRNA from 1 species